GGACAUAUCACGUUGAAACAUUGGUUCCUGUACAAUCACCAAAGUUAAGCAAUUUUGUGCUUGGUCAGUACCUUGAUGGGUAACCUCUUAAGAAUACCAGGUGCUGUAA